AUGGAAGCUCCACCGCCUCUUCUCCUACCAUUCCGGCUGCUGCUGCUCCUCCUCCUCCUAGCCUCGAACACGGCCACCGCGGCUAGGGACGGCUGCAGCGUGGGCUGCGACCUCGCGGUGGGCUCCUACUACGCCCCCAAGGACACGAACAUCACAUAUAUCGCUUCGAUCUUCGGCUUGUCCGACUACCGAAUACUCGGCAAGUAUAACCCCGGGCUCCGCAGUCUCGACUUCUUAGCCGCCGGGGACCGCGUCGACGUCCCCUUCCCCUGCGAGUGCCUCGCGCGGCCAUCCGACCCGGCCUCCACCUACCUCGCCGCCUCCAUCCCCUACAAUGUCGCCACCGGAGAUACCUACGUCAGCAUCGCCAGCAACUACAUCAACCUCACCACCGCCGACUGGCUGCAGGCCACCAAUUCGUACCCGCCCAACAACAUCCCCGACGUCGCCAUCGUCAACGUCACCGUCAACUGCUCCUGCGGCGACGCCAGGAUCUCCACGGAUUACGGGCUCUUCCGCACAUUCCCGCUCAGAGACUGGGAGACUCUCAAAUCCGUCGCGGCAACUCCGCCAGAGCAGAUGGACCUACUCAGUAGGUAUAAUCCCGGUAUGGACGGUGUCACCGGGAGCGGCCUCGUGUACAUCCCUGCCCAAGAUCCCGAUGGAAGUUAUCGUCCUCUUAAAUCAUCAGCAGGGUAA
rnacentral:rRNA from 1 species